GCUGUUGCUACACGUGUGUUCUGAGGAUGACAAAGACAAGAGCAAAUAAGUCAUUUGGUAUUGUUGUUGCUACACGUGUAUUUCAACGAUGGCAAAUACAACAGUUGCCCUCUGUUAUUGUUCAUUUUCAUGGAAGCUUUGACAAAGUUCAUUCUGAGAAUCCUCUUCUUCUCCUCUGAUAAUCUUGUUGUUGUUCCCAGAUCUUCAAUUUACAUAGUAGACCAACAUAAUGGAUCAAAGGCUCCCCGUGGACGCAAUCACAAUAGAAACUACAGACUGGACCUGUAAAGUACAGGUAGUAGACAAGUUCCGGCCUCGCAAAAGCAGCGACUCAUCCGAGCAUUUUCAGACAAUACUUGUACAGGAUGAAAGUGAACAACAGGUUUCUAUAAUACUCUACGGCGAUGACAUUCCCAAGUACGAGAAUUUGUUUGGCUUUUUCGAGACAUAUUUGGUGUCGUGUGUGAAAGUUAGAGAGCCCCGCAGUUACUCAAUACGAGCUGGUACAUAAGAAUGGGUGGCUGACAGAUACACAAUCGUCGAGGCGGUUACCAAUAACAACGAAUUGGAGGCAUACACAAUCGUCGAGGCGGUUACCAAUAACAACGAAUUGGAGGCACCCCUUCCUGCUCCAAAAAAAUUGGAUACACUGUCUUUCUCAGCUAUCGAACAACAAUGUCUAGGUGUCGAAUUUGACUUAUUGGUAGUAGUAGUUAAUUGUAGCGCCAUUCAAUAGACAACUGACCAAAGCAAGCAUUUUUGGGAAGCAAUUGUCAUAGACCAGAGCAAGAAACCUAUCCUAUUUACUAUAUGGGGUGAUCUAGCCGACAACGAAGGAGCUGAAUUACUAUACGAUCUGCAUGAGUACCCUAUCAUUCUUGCGAGACGUAUUGGCGUUACUGAAUUUCGCGGUGCUCUAAGACUAGAAACAAGAUAUCAGUCGACAAUCUCAACAAAUCCUCAGUAUGUGCAGGCUACUACACUGAAACUGGGUGAAGCACAACGAGCGAAUGUUGUUGUCUUCCACUUUAAGAAGCUCAUCAUCAUCCUCACUAAAUCUGGCGCCAAUUGAAGAUCAAGUGCUAGCUAUAUCCACCAUUCCAGAGCUGUUACUACGGUACAAAGUUUCCCCGUGGAAGCGAGAUUAUUGCUCCCUGACCGUCCUCAACCAUUUUACCUGCUUGCGUGCUCGAAUUGCAGUCAGUUUGUGCGCCCCAAAACUAAAAAGAUGGUUCGAUGCUUCAACUGUAAGCUAGAACGACGAUUGGUUCCCAGGUGCCACUUCGAAGUUAACAUCAUGGAUGCUAGUGAUACAAUUACAGUAAUGAUCUCAGAAACGCUCGGUGAAAGAAUGUUGUCCUUAACCGCCGAACAAAUAUAUGAACGGGUUGCUGUCCAGGUACACAUACACAUACAAUUAACAACAGGAAAAACUCAUUUCCUUAAAAUUUGGUUCUCUCAGUAAAUAAACCCCUAACAUUAGACAAAUUUUUAUUUAUCGUACUUUUUUACUUAGCAACAACUGCUGUGUAUUGCCCGCAUAAAUCAGCUGCUCGCUCAUAUAUUAUUUAAGCUCCAACUACAAAAGCCAUUAUUCGGAUUUCUUGAUCAAAAAACUGGUAUGCUGGCUAGCACCUCUUUCACUGAAACCCACUUUCUCCUGAGGAGCCAGAUAAGAGGCAGAAAAUCGACCCACCCACCCCAGUGAAAAAAAAUUAAAGGUGUCGAUACUUGAAAAUUGAAUUUACUACUGUGGGCUAGCUAUUAUGUGACUUAAUUAUGCCUACCUUGUGCUGUAUAUCUAAAUUUCUUCAUUUAUGAAUUUGUACUUUGAAGAUUUGGGUUGAUCGCAUUGAUAUUAGUAGGGCUAAUUAUGACGGGGUUGAUACUAAUUGGAUUAAUUAUGUUCAUGGCAAGAACACCACUCUUUUCUUCCCGCUUUUUUUUUUUUAAAUAAUCACUAUCUUCAAAUUAGUUUUCAUAUCUUUAUUAAGUUGACGAGGUACUUAUUAGCUUCUACAAAUAACAUAUACUUACAUACUUGCUAACACAAAACAGAAAAAAAUCUUAUUUUAUUAGUAUAUGUAACUGUCAUAGUUUCAAUCUUUUAUUGAAGCAUAUUUAUAACAUAUUCCUUAGUUAUCAACUUUCUUUAGGCUUUGUUUGCUAGCUAUAGUUAUAUAACCCCUUCUCAUUUUUAUUUGGGGUUAUUGUGAAGAAAUUUGAACUUGAAUUUGGUCAGCGGGGGCAUGCAAAUUGUUGAAUAACUAUGGAAUAUUCUCGCUUUGCAAUUAGAAUGCUAAACUUUCAAUCUUCAGCUAUAUAUCUGCGAACCCUUUUAGUUUCAGAAAGGUUUUGAACCUGCAAUAGCGUCAGUUACUGCAUGCAAAUUCUUGACUAUUGUGUAAAAGUUUCAAUCCUUAUAUAUUUUUUGGUCAACCCUUACGAUAUCUUGAGGUUCUUAACCUGAAAUAUAAUUAUCCACUAUGGGGUUACUGUUAUAUUGCUUAAUUAUAUGUAUCUGUAAUUUUCCUGGGCUUGUCAAUUGUAUUCGGAUCAGUUAAAUGUUGUAAAUAAUAUGUACAUUACAGAAAAUUUGAACAGCUACUUUCAACUAUUCUACCCAAGUGAAUUUUUUUAAAAAUAUGUAUAGUUUGCAGAAAAAUGACAUUUUGUAUCCAGCAUUUGCAGCAUGUCAAUCUCAGCAGCUUACUACAACUAUAUUUUGGUGGCCUUUACCAGCUUCAUUACAUGGUAUGGCAUGGCAUGUACAAAGGAAUUUUGGUUGGCUAUACCAGCAUCACAGAGUCGGGCUGCAUAAACAAAGUUUUUGUGUGUUUUAUGUAAUAAUCAGACUUUAAUAUAUAAAACCUACAUGUAUAAAACCUACGCAAUGUCUCCCUUGCACGGGCUUCCGCAUCUAGUAAAAUAGAAUAAAUGACAAUUUUAAUCCUUGAAUUAGUGUUAUUACAGUUUCAA